GGUAAAAUGGCUGAGGAUAGGUAAUAAAUUGUAAAUUUAUUAACGGAAUGGUUUAAAAUUCCUUUUACCA
rnacentral:tRNA from 1 species